AACGAACGCUGGCGGCAUGCCUAACACAUGCAAGUCGAACGGGAUCCGGCCUUCGGGCCGGUGAGAGUGGCGGACGGGUGAGUAACGCGUGGGAACCUGCCCAUUGGUCUGGGAUAACUGCGGGAAACUGCAGCUAAUACCGGAUGUACCCGCGAGGGGAAAGAUUUAUCGCCGAUGGAGGGGCCCGCGUCAGAUUAGGUAGUUGGUGAGGUAACGGCUCACCAAGCCUACGAUCUGUAGCUGGUCUGAGAGGAUGAUCAGCCACACUGGGACUGAGAUACGGCCCAGACUCCUACGGGAGGCAGCAGUGGGGAAUAUUGGACAAUGGGGGCAACCCUGAUCCAGCAAUGCCGCGUGAGUGAUGAAGGCCUUAGGGUUGUAAAGCUCUUUUGCCAGGGACGAUGAUGACGGUACCUGGAGAAUAAGCUCCGGCUAACUCCGUG
rnacentral:rRNA from 1 species